rnacentral:rRNA from 1 species
AUGUCCGGAUCUAGCCUUCAAGGCUGGUGGAUGCCCUCUUCCGUUACGGAAGAGGAUAUCAAGAAGUUGAGGGAGGCCAAAUACCUGACCACCGAGGUCUCGCAUCGGCUGCCUGCCCGAGGGCAGGUCGUCCCUACUCCCAAACUCAAUGAGAAUGUUGUGUUCAUCUCCCACUUCCUCCGAGGUCUAGGCCUCACUCUGGAUCCCUUUGUUAGGGGUUUGAUGUUCUAUUACGGACUAGAUUUCCACAAUCUAGCCCCGGACUCCUUUAUCCACAUCUCGGCAUUUAUUGUCGUAUGUGAGGCCUUCCUCCGCAUUACCCCUCACUUCGGCCUGUGGCUCAAGACCUUUGACGUGAAGCCGAAGAUGGUCGAGGGGCAGCAUGUAGUGUGCGGAGGCGCAUUAAUAAGAAAGAUCGCUGGAGCUCCAUGGACAAAGGGUUCCUUUCCAGAGGUGUCCGGAUUAUGGCAAUGGGAGUGGUUUUACAUCACAGCUCCUAGAAGUGCCAAGUGGGUGGUUGCCCCUGCUUUCCGCUCGGGCCCUCCACCACAAGUGAUGUCAUGGAUUAGCAGAGGGCUGAGAUGGGGUCCAGCCAAGGACGUGCCUAUACUGCAGAGCCACAUUCAAGAUCUCUUCGAAGGAGAUUUCAGUCUCGUUAUGGUGGUGCAAGUCAUGCUGGUUCGUCGAGUCCAGCCUUGCAAACGCCGGCCCCUCCGCAUGUGGGAGUUCAACCCAGAAGGACCGCGCACUAUUCAGAAUUUCCUCGGCCUGACGCACGAGGAGAUGUAUAAAUCAUUCUUCAGACCCCAAAUAGGGUGUCCAGAUACUACCGAGGACGUGGGCCUGAGCAGCAACCACACCGCCGACCAAGUAAGUAAUCCUCUAGCCGAACACACCAUCUUUCAUUUAUCGUGA